GACGAACGCUGGCGGCGUGCCUAACACAUGCAAGCCGAACGGACAUUUUUUGGAAAGUUCUUCGGAACUGGAAUCUAAAUGUUAGUGGCGGACGGAUGAGUAACGCGUGAGCAAUCUGCCUUUCAGAGGGGGAUAACGGCUGGAAACGGUCGCUAAUACCGCAUGAAAUGUUCGGAUGGCAUCGUCUGAACAUCAAAGAUUUAUCGCUGAAAGAUGGGCUCGCGUCUGAUUAGUUAGUUGGUGAGGUAACGGCCCACCAAGGCGACGAUCGGUAGCCGGACUGAGAGGUUGAACGGCCACAUUGGGACUGAGACACGGCCCAG
rnacentral:rRNA from 1 species